CCAAUUUCUGAAUCUGACCUCGUUUCAUACAUUUUAUCUGGUCUUUCUGAUGACUAUGAGUCAUUUGUUGACUCUAUUGAGACUCACAAUGAGUCUGUGACGGUCGAUGAACUUCAUGGCCUUCUAUUGAGCAAAGAGAUC